rnacentral:lncRNA from 1 species
GUUUAAACUGCUAGCUGCUUCGGUGUCUUACUCGUUUGGCUUGUUUCAGAAAAUUAUAAAAGUUCAAAUUCGAGAAGAUCUGACUCAAGAACCCUCACCUCAUUCGCUCUCCUCCGGCACAUUUGGGGUUCUUGCCCCAGCACCAGAACCUUCCAUUAGUCAUUUGACAAAACCACUAACAAAACCGCCUUCCACCAAAGUUGAAAUUAGAAGCAAGACAGUGGUUUUUCCUCCAACAGAACCUGGUAAAACCUCAGAGAACUAUCUGGAACUGGAGAAUUGUGGGCCCACAAAUGUAAAGUGGCACCUGUCAUCUUUUGCUCCCCCUUAUGUCAAGGGAGUCGAUGAAACUGGAGAUGUUUUUAGAGCUACCUAUACAGCGUUCAGAUGUUCUCCCAUUUCUGGCACACUAG